UACGUAGGGGGCUAGCGUUGUCCGGAAUCAUUGGGCGUAAAGAGCGUGUAGGCGGCCCGGUAAGUCCGCUGUGAAAGUCGGGGCUCAACCCUCGAAUGCCGGUGGAUACUGUCGGGCUAGAGUGCGGAAGAGGCGAGUGGAAUUCCUGGUGUAGCGGUGAAAUGCGCAGAUAUCAGGAGGAACACCAAUUGCGAAGGCAGCUCGCUGGGACGUAACUGACGCUGAGACGCGAAAGCGUGGGGAGCAAACAGG
rnacentral:rRNA from 1 species